GUCUCUGUGGCGCAAUCGGUUAGCGCGUUCGGUUGUUAACGAAAAGGUUGGAGGUUCAAGCCCACUCAGAGACG
rfam:Octopus bimaculoides Scaffold211754_contig_1, whole genome shotgun sequence.